rnacentral:rRNA from 1 species
GGUAACCGUAACCCCCAGCUUGCUGGCUGGAUUAGUGGCGCAACGGGUGAGUAACACGUGAGUAACCUGCCCUUAACUCUGGGAUAAGCCUGGGAAACUGGGUCUAAUACCGGAUAGGAGCGCCCACCGCAUGGUGGGUGUUGGAAAGAUUUAUCGGUUUUGGAUGGACUCGCGGCCUAUCAGCUUGUUGGUGAGGUAAUGGCUCACCAAGGCGACGACGGGUAGCCGGCCUGAGAGGGUGACCGGCCACACUGGGACUGAGACACGGCCCAGACUCCUACGGGAGGCAGCAGUGGGGAAUAUUGCACAAUGGGCGCAAGCCUGAUGCAGCGACGCCGCGUGAGGGAUGACGGCCUUCGGGUUGUAAACCUCUUUCAGUAGGGAAGAAGCGAAAGUGACGGUACCUGCAGAAGAAGCUCCGGCUAACUACGUGCCAACAGCCGCGGUAAUACGUAGGGCGCAAGCGUUGUCCGGAAUUAUUGGGCGUAAAGAGCUNGUAGGCGGUUUGUUGCGUCUGCUGUGAAAGCCCGGGGCUCAACCCCGGGUCUGCAGUGGGUACGGGCAGACUAGAGUCAUGUAGGGGAGACUGGAAUUCCUGGUGUAGCGGUGAAAUGCGCAGAUAUCUGGAGGAACACCAGUGGCGAAGGCNGGUCUCUGGUCUGUAACU